AUUGAACGCUAGCGGGAUGCCUUACACAUGCAAGUCGAACGGAGUGGCGGACGGGUGAGUAUUGUCUAGGAAUCUGCCCGGUAGCGGGGGAUAACGACAAGAACGCGUAGCUAAUACCGCAUACUAUCAGAUCGGGCGAGGUCGGUUUAGUUAGUUGGUGGGGUAACGGCUCACAAAGGCGACGAUCCGUAGCUGGUUGGGGAGGACGACCAGCAACACUGGGACUGAGACACGGCCCAGACUCCUACGGGAGGCAGCAGUGGGGAAUUUUGGACAAUGGGGGAAACCCUGAUCCAGCCAUCCCGCGUGUAUGAUGAAGGCCUUCGGGUUGUAAAGCACUUUUGGCAGGGAAGCGGUACCUGCAGAAUAAGCACCGGCUAACUACGUGCCAGCAGCCGCGGUAAUUC
rnacentral:rRNA from 1 species